GGGCCGUGAUGGCGCUGGCCACCUCUGGAACCUGAUUGGUCAACUCAGGCGCCACCCCAGUUGAUUGACAGCUUACUGUACGUCUCGUUGAAAGAAGCGCAUUGUCGAAAGACAAACGUAGAUUUAACAUCUUUGAAAACACGAAUGGACCCAGAGGACAUACUUUAAAUUCCUGAUUGUGAACGGACCAAAGACCCCAAAAGCACACCUUCCUUCUCUUCACCUCGCUCUCACCAUCCGAUGUUGAAGACCUGGCUUUCCAGAGGAUGCACAUUCGCCAUGGUUGCCUCAGUGACCCUGAGGUCAAAGAGGGAAUCCUGUACAGGUAACCAUGUUCCAGGCCAGAGAAUGACCGACAGAGUUCUCCUGCUCCUGUUCUCGUGCUUCUCUCUUCUGGACAAACUCCAUCCACAAUCCAAACACCACCCACUGCUGUGCCCGAGUCUCAGUCCUAGUCUCAACCAGCCAGACCUAAAGCAAUCCACAGGCUGCAGAUUCUGCCCCAAGGGAGCGUGGAACCUCCGAUUCAAUUGGAGUGCAGGAACGAAGAAGCAUAGAGAUCACACACAUGGGCAGCAGCACACUUGUGUUCUCUCACAUUUUUCUCCUUUCUGCAAGCAGGAUUGGUUCUAACCCUUCAUGCACGUUUAAGUGCUGGGGUUUUCUUAUUGUAGUUUAUUAUUUGUAGUUUGGGUUGGCGAUUAAUGGUUGUUCAGUUUUUCGUCUCUUUUGUUCCUUUUGACUGGGAUCUUCAGCCCCCUUUUGUUUGUCCCUGGUUUUCUUUUGGGAUAAUUUGAAUAAUUUAUAAAGCUUGUGAGUUAGCCUUUUAAAGCUCAUGCAAUUUGGAUAUUUGAAUAGAUGAUGGUGUUGUUUGAAUGUGGUCUAAUUAAACAUUGAUUGUGAGUUAAAAUCUUGUUUUACUUGAUUUCAUCUUCAAGGUACUGAAGAGCUGUUUUCACAAUGAAU
rnacentral:lncRNA from 1 species